rnacentral:rRNA from 1 species
UACGAAGGGUGCAAGCGUUACUCGGAAUUACUGGGCGUAAAGCGUGCGUAGGCGGUUUCGUAAGUCGGAUGUGAAAGCCCUCGGCUCAACCGGGGAAGUGCACCCGAAACUGCGGAACUAGAGUCUCGGAGAGGGAAGUGGAAUUCCCGGUGUAGUGGUGAAAUGCGUAGAUAUCGGGAGGAACACCAGUGGCGAAGGCGACUUCCUGGCCUGUUCUUGACGCUGAGGCGCGAAAGCUAGGGGAGCAAACGGG